GUGGGUAUCUAUCUCUGCCUCCAGUCAGCCCUUUGACUUUGGACUGGUUAUUUAACCUUCAUUCUACUUCUUCAUCUAGAGCAAAGGUCAGCAAAGUCACCAAAGGGUCAGACCAUAAAUUGUUAGGGCUGUAUGGGUCAUAUGGUGUUUUGUCAUAGCUAGUCACCUCUGCCCCCGUGGCAUGAGAGCUGCCAUCAGCAAUGAAAAGCACAUGUGCAUGGCUGUGCGCCAAGAAAACUUCAGCCAGCCUUCCAGAUAUGAUCCAGUGUCUGUAGCUGGCCAAACCUCGAUCAUAUGAUGCCCCCACCCCAACGAAAGAAUGUGGAGGACAUUAUGGUUGACUGUUCAGUGUCUGCCAGACUCCAGCUGAUAGCCUAAGUCCAAUGAAGAUGUUCCAGCCCCCGGACACACUUAAGCCUGUGCGUGAGGGAUGUGGGAAAAGGAUUAGCAGAGGCUUCUGGGAAGAUAGCUUCCAUACUGCCUUGGGAAGUUGGCCUCUCCCAAGACAGGCAUGUGCAGGAAACUGACAGGGUUAGGAGGGGACUGGCUCUACCGUCAGCUUUGGACACUUGGAUCACAAGGCUAGCAGAGAGGAAUCUCCCCGGACCUCUUUUAAUGUGAGCUAGAAAAUCUUCUGCCUUCUCUUUAUUAACUUGGAACUGGGUCACCUGUUAUUUCAGCUAACAGCCUCCCUGGUGAAAACCAUGUUGGAAGAGUAGUUCUGAGACCCGAUGGGAAAGUGUGUGACUGUGGCAUGCUAAUUAAAAAGCCUGCCACUGAGAUAAUCAGCAGGCACCUCACCGCAGGGGCCAUGCGCGCAUGCCUCUGACAUGCGUAAGUCUUUCAUCUUCUUUUCCAUAAUUUUUUUUUAGUUGUAAAUUCUUGGUUCUCUUUGCUUGAAAUUCCCAAGUCAUGUAAGAAAUAACUUAGUGGGAAGAAAACAAUGAUUAUUACUGGGAGGAAACAGCCUUGACCUAAAGGCCACCACAGGUCUGUUCCUUUCUCCCUCCUCUUUCCUCCCUCCCCCAUCCCCAGGUUGGCCUCUAGCUCACAGUGAGACUCCUGUCUUUGCCUCCUGGGUGCUGGGGUUACAGGCAUGAACCACCACAUCCAGGUUUGACUACCAAAUUUCUGUUUCUACAUAGUCCGGCAUAAUGCCAGCUCUUUCAAGGUUCUUCUCACUGUACCCCAUCGUGGGUGAUAUCCUGCAAGAGUGUGUUAGAUCUGGCCAGACAGGAAGUCUGAGAGAAGAACAGGCCCAGGCUCAUACCUUCAUAAUUACACUCCAUCAAGAGCCAGCCAGGGUAUCCUGAGCCCUACAUGAACUCCUUCCUUGAGUAUCGGCCCCACGUGGCGAGGUUCUGCCUCCUAUGGAGCCCACCACACUAAGCACCAAACUCCCAACGCGUGAGCCCUUCAGGGACAAAUCGGAUCCAAGCCACAAAAGAUUGAGGUUGCUUAUUAAACGAAAAAGGUGAGAUAAGCCAGGGCCGGUGACAAGGCUGAGGCAGGAGAAUGGUUUCAAGUUUAGAGGCAGUCUGGGCCCUAGAACAAGUACCACGUUAGUGGGGUUAUAACCCUGUCUUUUUUCUUUUUUAAGAAAAACAAAACCAAUAAAACGUGUUAAGUAUAAAAUUAAAGUACAUAGCCUCACCCCAAAUAUUUAACAGAAAAAAAAAACAGUAUUUUUUUCCAUUUCUUUUAAAAUUUUCCAUGAUGACCUAGAUCCACGGGCUUUAAAUUUUUAAGCAAGGAAAUAAAUCUAGCAUAAUAUGUCAUAAUCUGCAUUUCUUGCAACCACGUUGGACAGGUCCUAUAACCAGGGAUGAAGAACAAAUCACAGCUCCAGUUUAGUUUGUCAAAGUCUACGAGCUAAUAGCACCCUGAGAAUAUGGGUGAUUGAGUCAGCGAUACCUGCCAGGGAUCGUGACCUUUAUCAAUGAUGUUUCCUACAAGUUUGGGCCACUUGUGUAAGGUUGUGUAAUAAGGAAGUGAAGGGGUCCAGAGUUGCAUCUGUGGCUGUGAGACUUCAAAGACAUUUUAGAACGCUCAGCUCAGAGCCGAAGCUUUGAGAAGUAGGGAGCCUCCCGCGGGUCUUGUUUACAGAGCUCUGUCAGCUGCAGAACUCAGUUCAAGGGUUGGGCAGGGUGUGCGAAUCUAGAGAGGCAGUGCUGACCCUUGAACAGGCCAAGUGACAAGCCACCCAGCCAGUGAGACUGCGGGAAGAGCUAGGAUUAGGGCACAGGACUCGGGUCACCAGCUUUGGUCCCCAGAGAAGGGUGGUGCCAAGCUCCAGUUCAGCCAAGCCUGAUUAACAACAGAGCGAGGACCCAGUGGAACCCUACCUCCUGACUCACAUUUUCUCCUCUCCAUUUUGCACAUGUAAACCCCAAGUGCUCACCCCAUCCGUUGUCACCCACGCUUGCCAUGCAAGGACUAGGAAGCUCAAAGAAAUCGUCCAGGCAUCCGGCUAGGCACAGGAGAACAGGGUUUCUAACCAGGAUACAAAAAUAAACGUUUCCUCCUUUGGACUGAUUUAGAGUCAGUGUUUUUCCACAGCAAUGAGACCUGAACAACACAGCUUGGUAUUAACCUUGUGUCCUGAGAACCUGAAGAGUUGUUUGACCAAGGCAAACAGGAAUUUGCUUCUUUUUUGUAUUGCUAUGAUCUCCCCUUUCGGUUUCUUUCUUUCUUUCUCUUUUUUCUAGAUAGAGUCUCAGGUGGCCUGGACUGGCCUCAAACUCCCUACAUCGUGAGAAUAACCCUGAACUUCUGAUCUCCCGUCUCUACCUCCUGGUGCUAACCUGAUAGGCAUGUGCACAGUUCCCGGUGUCGGUGUUUGAGGAGCAAACCCAGAAAGAACCUUGCCCACGCCCAGUCGGCACUCGACCAAUGAAGCGUCCUCCAUAACCCUUAUCAGACAGUCUUCUGGUGGGUCACACGAUGCAUCUUGGUUGCCUGUGUCCGGGAUUUAGCAAGCAGAUGACAGAAGAAAGCAGCUGGCAAACCUGUAACCACUGUGGUUGGCUUUGGGAUUUGAGUGCCUGGUCAAGGACUCAGAGCACACUCGUGCUUUAGGAAAUCAGCCUGCUAGGAAGCCCUGGAGGCUAGAGACAGUUUUUGGGUCCUGUAUGGGAGAGGAAGCGCAGCGAGAGAUGGACAAGCCCUCAGGACGGCUGCCUGCACUCCGCCCUGAGACACACCCUCACUGUCUCGCUGACCUGACCCCUCUGCAGAAGGCUGGCUCGCAGGCAGAAAAGCCUCCUGCUUGGCACAGCUAGCUCUCUUCGGGUCUGCUCUGUGGCUUCUGGCACCAUCUUAUCUUAUUUUGAUAAAAGGAAUUUUGCAAUAAAAAUUUCUUGGCGGUGGUUCAACAAAGGAUCUACUUAUUAUCAUUUGAAAAACUGUGAGGGGUGGAGCUGGCGAGAGAGCUCAGCGGAGAGCACAGGGGUUCUCCCCCAGAGGACAGGAGCUGGAUUCCCAGCACCGACAUUGGGUGGCUCACAACCAUCUAUAAUUCCUGCUCCAGGAGAUCAAUGCCUUCUUCUGGCCUCUAUAUGCAGCCACACAUGUAUGUACAUUCACACAGGUAGCCACAAACACUCGGACAAAAACGAAGUACAUCUUUAAAAACGAAACUAAGCUUCAGAGGGAUGUGGAGAUGGUUCAGUGAAUACAUUCCCCUGCUAUGGAAGGAUGAGGAUGGAUCCCCAGCACCCAGAUUAAAAAGAGCUGGGCAUGGUCCACACAGGUGCUGGGGAGGCAGAGAUCGGGGAUACUUGGGGUUUGCUAACCAUCAGCCUAGUAAAAGAAUGAGCUCCAAGUGCAGUGAGAGACUCUCUCACAUAAGUAUUACAAGAGAGUCCAUGGUGGCGCACGCCUUUAAUCCCAGCCCUCGGGAGACAGGCAGGUUGAUCUCUGUGAGUCUGAGGCUAGCCUGGUCUACAGAGUGAGUCCCAGGACAGAGAAACCCUGUCUCAAGAGGGAAGAAAGUAAUCACAAGAUAGUCGAUUGUAUUACUAGAGUUCCAAGAAAGGCCCUGCUUCAAAAAACUAAGGUAGAGAGUGAUAAAGCAGACAGCCAACAUGUGCAAACACACACGUACAGAAACAUCUGAACACACACACACACAAUUUUGGGGCUGGAGAUGUAACUCAGCUGAGGGCUUGGCUAGCAUACACAGGUCCUGUUUGAUUCCCAACGUCACAGACACUGCACCUGCACACACCUGCAGCCUCUGAGGAAGACAGAGACA